rnacentral:rRNA from 1 species
UACAGAGGUCUCAAGCGUUGUUCGGAUUCAUUGGGCGUAAAGGGUGCGUAGGUGGCGCUGUAAGUCGGGUGUGAAAUUUCGGAGCUUAACUCCGAAACUGCAUUCGAUACUGCGGUGCUUGAGGACUGGAGAGGAGACUGGAAUUCAUGGUGUAGCAGUGAAAUGCGUAGAGAUCAUGAGGAAGACCAGUGGCGAAGGCGGGGUCUCUGGACAGUUCCUGACACUGAGACACGAAGGCCAGGGGAGCAAACGGG